CUUGGUGGUUCUUGCGAUAGAGGUACACCCGAUCCCAUAUCGAACUCGGAAGUUAAGCCUAUCCGCGCCGAUGGUACUUCGCUGUGAUGGCGGGGGAGAGUAGGUCGCCGCCAAGA
rnacentral:rRNA from 1 species